UCCUCCCAGCGUCUGAAAGGAAGGCGGCCCCGCUGCAGAGAUGCUGAGCUCAGCUCUACCGCCGCCGGGCUGCUGGGUGGGGGGCUGGGCGAGGAGCCGGCGCCUUUCUGGAUGGAGAAAGUGAGGCGCAGAGCUGAGGUGUGGACCGAACUGGUUUGGGAUUUACUCUUUGCUUGAGGAGGUAUGAUGAAUAAUAGUUAAGGACCACUUUUAUGAGAAUCCCUUGGAUGUUAGUCAAAUUGGAGAUUCCUGUGCUGCAACUGAGACUAAUCUGGAAUCUCUAAGGUCUGAAUCCAGUUAUUCAGCAAAAAGCCGCAUGAGAUCACCUUCUAACAUCUCUCCAGCUCCUUUGGGGUAGGUGAAAAGGGCUUUCCGUGGUGGGGCAAGGUCUGAGACACUGAAACCAGAUCCAGUGAC